UACGGAGGGGGCAAGCGUUGUUCGGAAUUACUGGGCGUAAAGCGCACGUAGGCGGCUACUCAAGUCAGAGGUGAAAGCCCGGGGCUCAACCCCGGAACUGCCUUUGAAACUAGGUAGCUAGAAUCUUGGAGAGGUCAGUGGAAUUCCGAGUGUAGAGGUGAAAUUCGUAGAUAUUCGGAAGAACACCAGUGGCGAAGGCGACUGACUGGACAAGUAUUGACGCUGAGGUGCGAAAGCGUGGGGAGCAAACAGG
rnacentral:rRNA from 1 species